rnacentral:rRNA from 1 species
UACGUAGGGUGCGAGCGUUGUCCGGAAUUAUUGGGCGUAAAGAGCUCGUAGGCGGUCUGUCGCGUCGAUCGUGAAAACUUGGGGCUUAACCCUGAGCUUGCGGUCGAUACGGGCAUGACUGGAGUUCGGCAGGGGAGACUGGAAUUCCUGGUGUAGCGGUGAAAUGCGCAGAUAUCAGGAGGAACACCGGUGGCGAAGGCGGGUCUCUGGGCCGAUACUGACGCUGAGGAGCGAAAGCUAGGGGAGCAAAUGGG